CCUCUGCAGGCUGAGAUGGGGCCUGAACGUUUCCCAGGAUUGUCUUCUAAUUCUCAGGUCCGGCUUUAAAACAAAACCUAAACUAAAACUAAAAUGCUUUCUGCAAAGAAUAAUACACCAACAUAAAGUCCGGGUAUCCUAAGCAUGUGGUGUGUAUGGUGUCUGAAAUUGAAUAUGCUGUGAAACUGCCUGUGUCGAAAUGCAGUGUUUCCCAAGACCUGGAGGCUCUCUCCAGCUGCUGAUUGUGAUCACCUCUCCCGAUCACCGCUGAGCCCUGCAGGUCACCUUCUCCUGACCUAUUACACCACUGAUUGCUUAUGCUGGGCACAAUUUUAUACCCUUGCUGUUGUUCAGUCUAAUCAUCCCUAUAACCCUAUCGGAUCAUUCCCAUAUGACAGAGGAGAAAACCUGGGGACACAGGGGCUGUGUCCUGGCCAAGGCCUUGCUUGCAGCAAAAGGCAGAGCUGGGGUCUAGCCAGGAGCCCCAGCACAGUCCUGUUCUUCCCCCACUAAACUGAGCUGUGAAAUAGAUCAUGGCAGUUUGGAAAACGGGCUAACUGUAUGCUGAGGGAGGUGGUGACGGAUACCUACUUCUUUUCAUGGGAAGGUGAGGUGUCUCCCUGCCCCCCUCAGGUCUAGCCUCUCUCUGUAGCUCAGAACCUUGGGAAAGUGGGAGGCUCAGAGGAGGAAAGAGAUUUACUUGCCCAAGGGCCGCAGCUGCUAAGUGGCAGGUAAGGGACUGUUAUUCUCCUGUCCCUUUCACAGAGGACAGGAGGAAAGUGAGGACAGGUGGUGUACAUGCAUCUUUUCUGCAGCAGGCCCAGAUCAGCUUUGCACAUGGUGCUGACCUCAAAUUCAGCCCUAGAGGGGCCUGUCUCUGCCCUGAGUGAGUAUUGAAGUGCAGGCUUCUUCCCCUUUGUUCUGUCCAUUUCCAAAAAUGUGAACACACACCUCCAACAUGUUUCUGUGUAUAUUAUUGUGUGCAUAGAUACUACCAUUGUGAAAUAUUAUGCAGAUUAAUAAUGCACUAUGCCAUUGAAAAUUUCAAAAGAAAUGUGUAAUGAACAUUUAAAAUUAAUAUUUUUGUUCUCAGUUAAGGGUUAAGGGAUAUAAUCAGGUUCUCUGCAAAAUACUAUGGUUUAAAAAUAACAAAGAUAAUAUGGGUAUUAAUAACAUUUCCUCAACAGGAAUGAUGGAGAAUGCUUCAGUUUUUCUGUAGGGAUUUAGUUUUUGAAUUGGGAUUUUGGGUAAGAUAUCUUUAGGAUAAAAUAUGUGCACACAAGAAAAUAGCAUAUUUUUCCUAAAAAUUUGUUUUUUAUGCAUUAUUAUAUACACAUAAAAAUGGUCUUAUUUUGGCUGGGCACAGUGGCUCACGCGUGUAAUCCAAGCACUUUGGGAGGCCGAGGCAGGUAGAUCACCUGAGUUCAGGAGUUGGAGAACAGCCUGGUCAACAUGGUGAAACCCCAUCUUUAUUGAAAAUACAAAAAACAUUAGAUGAGCAUGGGGCGGGCACCCAUAAUCCCAGCUACUUGGGAGGCUGAGGCAGGAGAAUCGCUUGAACCUGGGAGGUGGAGGUUGCAGUGAGCCAAGAUAGCGCUGUUGCACUCCAGCCUGGGCAAUAAGAGCGAAAUUCCAUCUUAAAAAAAAAAGAAAGAAGUAGUUUUAUUUCAAAAUUAGAAGCAAAAAGAAAAUAAAUAUAUCCUGCUAUAGAGACUUGUCUUCGGAUGCUUAUGACCUCCUGUAAAUGCAGUUCCUCCCUCAUCCCCGUCUAAGCAUCCUUCCUCAGCCUCCUCAAAUUGGAGCCUGCGUCAUCAGAACCACGUGGAAGGCUCUAAAAACAUUGACGGCAUAGAGGGAGACCCUAUCUCCAAAAAACAAAACAAAAAAACCCUUUAUUUUUAAUGGGAUAAAAAGUUAAAUGGUAGUUAGAUAUUCAAGUUUUGUAUGCUCCAUGAACAAACAAACAAACAAACAAAAAAACAUGACACUUGAUGGAGACUGCAGGCCUGCGUUCUGUACCUGGCUUUGAGGGAGUGAUUGGAUGGGAUGGUGUGCUUCCUGUGCCUGUCCUGUCUGCUCUGGGUUUAAUUUACUCUCAAUUGGCCAUUGUUCUUUCCAUGAUCUUAUUUUCCAGGCAUUGUCCUAGGACCCAAGGUCUCUUACAUUCUUACAUGUAACAGUAAGAAUUCUUACAAUAAGAAUUGAGAGAGUAGAAGCUAUUUUUUCCUAUGACUUAGAACUUUGGGGGAAGUUUAAAGGGAGAUACUGCAUGUAUUCUGUGUCAUCAUCUAAUUUCUACAGACCCUUCUUAAGGAACUGACAUUAAUGUUGUACUUAAUUCUUCAGGCAGUGUGGGCCAAGAAUAAAGCCAGAUAUACAUUUAGUCUAAAAGUACAAGUCAUAUUAUUUCCAUCAGUGGAUUCCUAUAAUCCUAUGAAUAAAAUCUUAUACAUUGGCUUAUAAGAGACCCAUUGAUUCACUAUUAAUCACUAUAUUUCUGUUCUUACUGGGCUGAAAAAAAAUUGAAAUUUAACCUGAUGUGUUUCCUGUGCUUUGAAAUCUUACUUUGUUUUCAUGGUUCUCUUGCCUAUUUCUUACCCCACUGCACACAUAGAAGAAAGAAUAUCAAUAGCGGCAGUUCUUAUCAAUCAGAAAACAGGUUAAAAGCCAUUCUGGUUCUUGGGCUAAGUCUCAGUAGCAGAGAGAAAUAGAAGAGGAAAGGUAUGGGAUAGAAGUGUAUUCACUACCACUCUCUCUGAUCAAACCUUGGAGGGGAGCAACGGAGUCCCAGAUGUAUCCAGGAAGGGGGUCUUGCUUAUAGUUUUCACAGCAUUGCCUGGGAUACAACAGAUAAUUCCUAGUUGCUAUUGUGGGCUAUGAAUGAGCUAGAAUGGGUUCUAUAUGUCAAUGUGGCGGGUGCUGGAAAAUUAUUUUUAAUGAUUACAUUUUCUUUGACAUGUAGUCUCCAUUGUUGCUACAGAUGGAGAAGAGAAACAGGAGGAUUGCAUACAGAAAAUAUAUAUAGCCAAGUACAAACAUGGCAUCCAUGACUUUUCUUCAUGUUGCAUUGAGCAAACUCACUCAUGGGGCCCCAACUAACUGCAAGGGAUGCAAUAUUUUGCUGUGUCCAAGGGGAAAGUGAAUUGGGCUUGGUGAACAUAUAGCAUAGACUCUACUGCAGAGUGGUCUUUAGGUCACCAAAAUUCAUGUUUCUCUUUCCCCCUCAGGUAGAGCACAUUCACUAUAUCUCCAAAGAAGAUGUUAGGAGCCAGCCAAAGUAUUAUCUAGUAAUGCAUCCACAUCAGUGUUCUGGAACGUGGGGUUGGUCAUGUGUACUCUUCCCCAUAGUGGCUGGAUGUGGCUCUGUGUAUAUUGUGGAGACAAGGUAAUGAUGAUAAAGACCCCCACUCAGAUAGGGAUAAAUAGGAAACACACAGCAAUUUUUAUUGCCUACUGGGUGAGCAUUAUAAAAUGUGAAUAUUUUCCUCAAUGAAAAGUAAGAAGAGAACUAGGUUCUCAUGAAAAAGUGGCAAAAUGGUUUUUACAAACUCUGGCGACUCAUAUAUUUUAAAGUUGCCUAAUCAACUGAAAUGUAUGUAUGUAAGCAUGGGUAUAUUCACUAAAGCCUAGAACUAAUGAUGACCUUAGCAGCAAAGGAAUAAAAAUAUGUUCAAUAAUUAGUCAGAUUGAUUGAAAUUUGUUUUUUUGUUUGUUUGUUUUUGAGAUGGAGUCUUGCUCUGUCGCCCAGGCUGGAGUGCAGUGGCACAAUCUCGGCUCACUGCAACCUCCGCCUCCUGGUUCAAGCAAUUCUCCUGCUUCAGCCUCUCAAGUAGCUCGGACUACAGGCAUGUGCCACCACACCCGGCUAAUUUUUUGUAUUUUUAGUAGAGACAGGGUUUCACCAUGUUAGCAAGGAUGGUAUCAAUCUUCUGACCUCGUGAUCAGCCCACCUCGGCCCCCCAAAGUGCUGGGAUCAUAGGCGUGAGCCACUGCGUCCGGCCUGAACUUUCUUUUUAUAUGUUUAUUUUGCAGAUAGUAUUUCUUAGAAUUUAUAUUUUGGAGAACAAAAGGUACUCAUGUACAUGUAUAAUAGUUUUAUUUUAUAACAUAAAAUUGCAGGCUCAAGCUGAAGGCUUUGAGGCCAGUACAUGGAGUGACCUCAAUGGACUCGAGUGGUAGCAAGCUGAAUUUGGUCUCCAUCAUAUCUUUCUGCCCCCUAUUGUUACUUCCCUGACUAUAUUACAUUUUGUAGCCAAAGGGAUUUUGCAGAUGCAAUUAAGGUUACUAAUCCAUUGACAGAAAAUGAUCUUCUCAGUGGGCCUAAUCUAAUCACACGAGCCCUUAAAAACGGAAAGCUUGCUCUGCCUGGCAGAGAAAGAUUCCAAGUUAGAGACUCCACAAGUUGUUGCUGCUUUGAAGAUGGAGACAGCCAUGUUAGAGAGAAUACAGGAAGCCCAGAGGAGCAGAUGGCAGCUCCCAGCUGACAGUCAGAAAAGGAAAACCUGCCUCAGACUUGUAGGUGUAAGGAAUUUGAUUUUUCCCAACAUCCUGAAUGAACUUCAAAGUUGAUUUUCCCCCAGAAUCUCCAGACAGGAGCCCAAAUAGCUGCAGCCUUGAUUUCAACCUUGGGGAUCAUGUGCAGAGUGUCCAGUAGAUUCCAUCCAGACUUCUGAAUCCACCUACAGAAUUGUGAGAUAAUAAAUGGGUGUUCUUUUAAGAACAAAGUUUGUGGUGGUAUUGCAGUGGCCAUGGAAAAUUUGUACAGUAGUUAAUAGUAUUACUAUUAUUGUUAUUACUAUUACUAUUUUCAUCUCCACAGAGUUACACCACAGAAGGUACAUGCAUCUGCAGCAGGCCCAGCUCAGUCAACACCUCUCUGAGUACAUUCUAAAGCCACAGCAUGCAUGAGAUUCUGAGGGCCCAGGGUCACUUCUGAACACAGCAGCCCCCCAAAGACUCACAAGGCCAAUCACUGCCCACUGAGGCAGAGGUGGGGGAUCCAUCAGAAAGGGCUGAAAGAAGCUCUAGUAACCCAGAAGUGUCCUCCAGGACCUAAUUUGUGAGGUUACACUUCUACUUCUUGUCUUCUGGAAGCCAUGAAGGCAGAGCUCAUGUUCCAGAGUGAAGUCUUUAGUGACCUCCACUGGACAGUUUGAGUUGGAUGCCUAUCAGGCCUCCUUCCCUCCCCUUUUAGGAUGGGUCCAUCCCAAGACAUGAUGGGCAAGCCCUAUCCCCAGAUACACCUCCCAUCGGUCAUUUGGUUUCCUAAGUGGUUCCUGAGUACCACAUAAAUGCUAAGCACUAGAUGCUGGGGAUACUAGAUGCUCACUAGAUAGCAGUGAGCAACCUACAUAAAAUGCAUGGCCUGUAGGAAUCCAUGGAGGGGAGCUCCCAGGACUGUAUCAAGCACAUGGAGAUGAUAGGGAGCACCUAAACCCUCUUGGAUGAAUUAUUAACACCAUGGGCAACAUUCUACACAUUUGUAAUAAAGUAUGGCGGUAAGGAAGGCAAAAAUAUCACUUACCCACAAAGAAAUGUCCAAGCACAAAAACAUCCAUACCGACAUUGUGUUUAUGUUCAAGACAAGCUCACACACCCUUCGGCCAAGAUGGCACUAUUAUGUUCUAUGGAGUCCUUGCCAGUCACAGCAAAUAGGAAAACUAGGUCAGCGUGUGUGAGUUUAUGUAUGUGUGUGGUUUUGUGUGUGUGUUUGGCAGGAGAGAGAAUGCCAUAAUUAGUGACUAUGAAAAUAUUCCCAUAUUUUCCACCGGCUGGGUCAAUCUUUCUUCUCCUCACUGGUUUUCUUCCUUCCUAGGCACUCAAACCCCAAUAUCUUCCUAUUUGCCUGCAGGCACUGUGCAGGUGCCCUGUGAACCAUCUCAUUAUUGAAGAUUAUUUGAUUUCCUUGCCUUUUGUCAUCAAGCCAGGCGCCAUGUUGAGUCCCUAUAGGGAGGGGCUUCCCUUUUCCCAGAUGUUGAGUUCCAAGUUUGUGUUAAGAUAGAUGAACCCCAGAUAUACAGAAGAUCCUUAAGGAGCACAUAACUUGUUCCUUGGCCUUGCUAUCUCCACUGAUGACCUACCUUAGCAAUAACCCCCAAAACCUGUCCCCUUGAAGCUCACCCAUCUCUGUGGCCACUGGACAGUGGCUACCUUUUCUAGCUUUCACAAAACACUAUUUUCUGGAAAAUAAUCUUAUGCUUGAACACUUUCAGAGUUGAGCUGUUUUGUGGUGGAUGAGAGACUGGGCAAGGUGGCCCAGCCAUAGGCUGAUUUUCAUGUCCCUGGGAGGGAAUCCAGCUAGCUUUCAGUGGCUGGAGAAUGAGUUCAGUGUACUUGAAAAUACAUGGACACUUUUUGGGGGGAGUGUGUUGGUUUUGUCUUUCCCAAGCCCAGUAAUAAUAAGUUCUUUCACCCUCAGCUUUGCUAAGACCUUACCCUUCCUCUUCCCUCUGGCCUCUUCCUCUGCCCACUUCCUAAUCCACAAAUAGAGCCAAGAUUUCUCCUUCCUUGAUACUCCAGAAUCUGUCACAAAGGGAGAGUCAAGGGGAGUUGGUAGUCAACUGCAUAUUUUCAUUAAGGCUAUGUUAAGAAUUGGGAAGCAUCUCCCCAGCCUCAAUCAGGAAAGGGAUGGGAUCUUGGGUGCAAGAGGUAGCUCUUCUUCACCAAUGUAUUUAGGGUCAUGAGGAUUGUUCCUUAUCCCCUGAGCUCAGGGCCUCAAGCCUCCCAAACUCCAGUUCCACAUUGAGAUGUGUGAAGUUUCUUAUCCCUUGCCCUGCCUGAGGGCUGAGUAGGACACUUGUGGCCCUGUGGUGCCUAUGCACCCCCAAGAAUAACACCAUAUGUCUGCAUACAGUUCAGUAUGAUGAAGGAGCAGAGAGCAUAAGUCUAGAUUGUGAGGGUUGUUCUUUAACAGAUUUUAUUCUCAUUAUUUAAGCCUCUAAACACUUGUCCAGUUGGGUUUUGUGUUUAUUAGAAAGGAGGUAUUCAUUGAACAAAUGAUAGAACCUGGGAGAGAGGGAGGUGUGUGAUGCCACUGUCAAAACCCCUCCCUAACCCAAGAAGUCAAGUCAUCAGUAAGAGCUGGACUUGACUUCUUUUCUCUAAGCCCAGUCUUAAGAUACACCCAACUUCUCCAAACAUGGCAAAGACAGAAGAAACCACUUUUCUUUAAGGAGAAACAGCUAUAUAUGGUAAGAAUGACUACCACUGUAAAUGAGAAACAGAGACAAGACUCUUCAGAGGAACUAUACUGUGAGCAGCAAUACAUUUUCUCUAAUUGGGUGAAAAUAUUUCUUGAGAGAAAUGUUGCUGGGAGGAGGGGAUGGAGGAGAACUCUCUGGCUGACUUGAGGAAACAAACCUUAUAAACAGAGCCUGAGGAGGCAUGGGGAUGGCCUGAUGUCCCUUGGAUCCUUGGUCCAGGCUGCCAGGGCCUGCCCAGAGAUACAGGCUACUCAGAGAAGAUGGAAGUGGAUUGCCUCAAAUUGCUCAUCAUGAAACCACACCACAUUCUUUGGUUUUCCAAGCUAUCUGUGACCUGCCUAUUAUUGAGAUCAUGCAGACUCUUAUAAUCUACUUGAAGGCUGCAGGAUGCAGAUGUCAGCCCUUUCCUUCUUCAGGAAAUAGGGAGUCUUUCAGUCACAGGAAUAUCUAACUCUGAGUUCUGCCUGAGCCUCACUGAGUUCUAACUCAGUGAGUAUCUAACUCACUGAGUUCCUCAGUGAGUGGACAUCUUUCCCUUGCAUUAAUUACACUUCUCAGCCCUAUUGUUUUCUUUAGGCUCUGGCCAAAUAACUGACUUGCUCUUUGAGUUUCAGCAUCCUUUUGUCCGCAGAGGUAGCCCUGAUUUCUGGUGGGCUUGCGCUUUGUAAAAAAAGGCUGGCAUGCUCCUGGCCAGCCUUUUCUUUUCUUCUCUGUUUAAUUGGAUAAAAGCACUGAAACAAAUGCCUCAUGUUUUUUAAGAUAUGCUUUAAGAGUCCAUAGCAAGAACUGGGCAUCUUGUACCAAGAAUUUCUGCCAAUCACCUCUCCUGUGCUGGAUGACUCUUCUCCAUAGGGUGAAUGGGCUCCAAUCCUGCAACCCCUAAUUUAUCUCCUUCUGCUAUGAGUAUCCUAAGGUCCUCUUUCUCUUGAUUUGUUGAUAAUAUCUUGUCCAGGAUCACCUCUUCUGUCUGACCUGCUUGAGGGUUUCUUCUAAGAAGCUUCAUGGGCACAGCUAUAAAGUCAGCCCUUGAAUCAUACAUGGGUUGAUGAGAAACAAAACUUAGACUGGGGAAGGGGUUGGGAAUGGGGAUUGUUAAACAGUGUUUUGUAUCUGAAGACUUCAAAAAGUGUAUCCCAAGCCACAUAAUUUGGGCUUCUAAAAACUUUUGAGGACAUAGAUAAAAAAGGAAAAGUCUUGAGACUAGUUCUGAUAAUAUUCCAGUCACAAGACUGUCAAAUGUCUGGUUCUGACUUCCUAGGAUGAAGUUCCCUGGAUUGAGCAGUGUAGAGUGUGCAGCAGUCCAUGAAGGACACAUCCCCCCAGAAUUGAUCUUCCCAUAUUCUUGCCCAACUGUAUGUUCUAGAUGUUUUCAGUCUUUCUGGUUUAGAUUUUCCCUUGGGCCUCUUGAUAAUCCAUUCUUUGAGUACCUUACCGAGCCACAUUUUGUCCCUUCCCAGAGGACCCUUCACUGAAUAGAUUUCUAAACCCCUCAUUAGGUUACAUUUAGGGCCCCUCAUGGACCAAUGGAGGAGGCCUUUGUCCAAGACCUUGCUUAGCUGGAACUUGGGUGGGCCUCUCCCAUAAAGCCUUGUUACCGUAGGAAAACAAAACAAUGAAUUAAUGGAACCCAUGGGCAGGUCAACUUGGUGAGAAUUUGAGAUCUUGGGAGAGUGUGGGGUCAGGUGAGGUGGUGAGGUCCAAAAACAAAGGCAGGUACUGGUUGCAAAAUAGGAUCCCAAGUGUGUUCUGAGUAUAGAAGGAUCCGAGUGUGUUCUGUGAGUAGAAGGCAAAGGGGGUGGCAAAAUAUGAUCCAUGAACAAUCUUGGAUCCAGUAUCACACAGUGCUGUGAUUGAAGAAAGGCACCCAGUCGUGAUAAUGAAAAGAAGGAAAGUGAGGGGAUACUUCAAUCCAGUCUGAGGUCAGAAGUAUGUAAGCAAGAAUGAAUGAUGACUCAAUUGAGCCCGUGGGGAGAGAGAGAGAGACAGACAGACAGACGGACAAACAUCUUCCCUCAGCUCCUGGCACUAAACAAUAUGUGUGUUAUGGUCUGAAUGUGUGAGUCUCCCAAAAUUCAUAGGUUGAAAUCAUAACCCCCAAGAUGAUGGUAUUAUUAAGAGGUGGUGCCUUUGUGGGGUGAUUAGGUCAUGAAGGUGGAACCCUCAUGAGUGAGAUUAAUGCCCUUAUAAAAGAGAACACCGAGAGCUAGCUAGCUGCUUCCACCAUAUGAGGUUACAGUGAGAAGAUAUG
rnacentral:lncRNA from 10 species